CCAUCCCACGCAAGUAACAACAUUUCCGACGGCACGUGAAUGAGGCAGCGGGCUGCUCCGCUUGCAACCAGAGGAACGGACAGCGCUGCGCACGAGGCAGGUACCAUCCUCCACGGGGAAGGCAAAAAAAAGCAGAGGAGAGCGGGGUGCCACACAUGUGACCGCGGAGCUGUGAGUGACACCAGCUCCUCCACAUCAGAUUUUUCUGGAUGUUCUUUUCUGGGGGGGUGGACUCCUUUUGCUGCAAAGAAACUGAAACCUGCCGACAUUUUUGUGGUUGUUUAUAAUAGCAGCAGAGAAGACCAUGAGGAUCACAGCCUUCUUCAAGAGCAAAGGUCUCUUGCUGCUGUGAUGUUUUUAGGAGAGGGGCUCCUCCUGGUUGUUUCCAGUUCCCCAUCUCAGCCCUGAUGCUCACUUCAGGUCAGCCCCUCGGGAUCUGGAACCUCAAAGAGAAACCAUCAAGAAACACUAUGUCUGAGACGGAGCAUGUGGCUGAGGUUGGAUCCCCUCAGAGGCUCGGUGUUCUCUUUUUAAUGAAGCAAAGCUGAUAAGAAGGACAAUUGUUCUUUUUUUUUUUCCCUUUAAAGAGACAUUCAUGAACCAUAAGUGGAAAUUAAGUGGGAAGGGGACUGAAAUACUCUGAGCAGGUAUUUCCCUUCAUUCCCUGUUAAAAAGGUGGGAUAUUUAGCUGUGGGAUAGUCCGAGUGAGUACUCAGUUACUUAUGGAAAGAUGGAGGCAGGAGCAGAGGCUAGCCCACAACAGCACCAGAGGAGGAAGCCUGUGCUGCAUGGAUUGGAGGACCAGAAAAGGUGAGUUCUCAGCAGUGACACUUCUAGUUCAUUAGAAGCCAGCUGCAUACAUGACGGCAUCAUCAAUUGGAAAACAGAGCAGGCCAGACGCUUGGCCGUCCCUAAGGAGAAAGGUUACGCUACACUGGGCCAAUAUUCACCUUCCCUCUUAAUGGACAUCAAGCAACUUACAUAAAUUGAAAGCACUGAUGUAGUAACGUUGACACACGGCUAUCCAUUGUCAGAGAAUUACCUCAGGCUUUCAUGCAGAGAUUCAAUGUCCCCUAGCAAUUACCUAGGCUAUGUGAGUUCAAGAUCCUAUAUGUGAUACUCUUCCCAGCAGGAGGUAAUUGGAUUUUGUUCUCUUUGUAGAUGUACUAUGUCACAUGUCCCCUGCUUCAUAUAUUAAUGUUCACUGAGUAGCAAUCAUGGACGUACAAAGGGGAAGUACUGGAGAAUCAUGGAUGUAUUUUAUUGUAUUGCAAUGUUUUAUUAAAGAGAAAUACUGUUUUUUUUUGUUACUAUCAGAAACCUGUCCUUAUGUAGCCACUUGCUAUUCACUGAACAUGAACUCCUUGAGGUUAGAGCUUUAGUUUUAGGAAUUGUCCAACUGCAAGAAAGGAUUGCAAAUGUACUGUUACUUUGCAGCAUUUUUGCAGAAGCCAUUUGGUUAAUUAGUUCUUACAAAGUUUUACUGGAUGGAAAUUGAUUUUUCCUUUUCUGGCAUACCACUGAAGGAUAUUGAAGAACAGGAAGUCAGUGCUGUACCACUGUUGUUUCAUCCUUAACGCUUUAACAACAUUGAAGAAUCUACAAGUGGAAGUGGAAGGUUCAACACUGCCAUAAAAUUAAGUCACAUUAAAAGUUUUAUCUGAUGAUCCUUGGACAGACGACGACCUCUCCAUUAGGUCUCAGCUAAAACUGUAAUUAACAUAACAUCUUAUGGGAGUCAAAAGCUGCCUCUAACACAGACACGGGUAAUUUUAUAACCAUGAGAAUGUAAUGUGUAGGGCUGGGCCAUAUCAUACCGUUCACGGUAAUACCGGUGUAAUUUUGGGCAACG